UUUUCUUGUGUAUUGACAAUUGUGUCAGUAUUUAUAAUACCAUCCACCAGAGAUGUUCGCAAUAUCGUCUUGGCGACAUUACAUACAAGCACUUGUUCAGUGUACUGAUCCAUCUAAAGGAACAAAUAUGUGGCGAUUUUUAUUGACAAUUUUGUAAUGCACCUUUAAGGAAGGGAAAUUAUUUUUAAAUCGGAAUUUCAACAUAUCGACAGCAUGUCACAAUUCGUAAUAAAUAUUUUUAAAUUAUAGCUUCUUAUUUUCGUAACAAACUUUUUAAACACAAUGAAAUUUAAGGGAGCAAUGAAAAGAGUUUAUGCACUGUUUAAGCGGACAUUGUGCAUAUUUAAGCGGAUCGGAUGUUAAUGAAUAUUACAGUGCACAGUGAUUGCGUUUCAUGUAUGUAGUAUCGUGGGCAAAAGGCCUAGAUAUCGGCCGAACCAUAAACAAUGUCACGAGAGCCGCGGCAUCGUUGGGUCCAUCAAUGUGUCGUCGGUCUUUUCAAGUGAAUAGUUUCGUGGAAAAGGCCUGCAUGACCCUGGUCACGGCCGUUUGCAGAACACGUGCGCGAUAGAGCGGGAAAAGACAAAGGGAUGCUAAAGACAGUGUUAGUCAGUUGAGAAGUCGUGCAGUGUGAGUUGAGAAGCGAGAGCGAGCGAGUGCAGAAGCCGGAGAGUGUGAAUCGGGAAGUCGAGAGCCGAGUAUAAUAAUAAGAUGUGCGACAAUAUUGUAAUCAGUUUGUUGUUUUGAAUAUUAUUUAUUAAAUCAAAACAUCAUUACUUGUCCUUACCUCUAAAGACUCAUUUAGAUAUGUACAUGUAUUGUAUCUAUUAACACACAUUUGACGAAUUUUUGAACACGCAUCUAUAUUACUAUGAAACAAUCGAUACAGAAAAAUAUGCUGCACGUGCAACUGAAAGUGCCUAAACGUUUACAAGAAAUGCACAUAAUCUCCAAAAUUAGAAGCUUGAAAGAAAUUGUUGUAUUUAACAUCUGCAAUUACAGUGACAGAUCUGCAUAAUUGUAUUUAUUUUACAUCACGGAUUAUAGGAAAUGGUAUGGUGGAUUUCCAAACAAUUAAAAAAAAGAAGAACUAAGAACAAAAAUGAAUCUUUAUUAGCAAGAAAACGGAGAUCGUACAGCGCACCGUAUUCCAGCAGUUGGACAGUUGUAGGAAACGACUGCAAUACGUGCUUCGAAUCGAAUCGAAUACUAACGCCAGCUAUGAAUCACGAUUCACGAAAGACGUGCAACGCUCUUCCAUCAUCAAUUACAGUAAAUGGUCAAAGGGAUAAUGGCGCCAUAAGAAGGUAUGAAACUCCGGACACAUAUACACACAUACACACACAUACAUAGCAUAGAACAUAGAGUAAGCUAUGAUAUUCUUUCGCUUUACUUUUUACCUGUAAGUCGACAGGUUUAAGAGCUAAUGUACCAUUGAACGAGAAUCUCGAAUAAAAGACUAUAGCACAUUUUGGUGAAAGUUGGAUUAAUAGUACAGUAGAACUCCAUUUGUCUGAACGUAUCGGUGGUCAAACAGUUUAAAUCGAGGUUUAUACGAUAAGAGUCUACCAAUUCUCCUCACUACGUAUUAUGCUUCGUUCACAUAAUAGAAGCUCACGAUGCAAUAUAUUAGAUUCAACCAGUAAACGUUCGAUUAAUCAGGCGCUGAUUAAAAUUUUGUUCCAAUAAAAAUACUUCGGAUAUAUGGAUUUUAUCAUAAAGUAUGGUUCUACGAUUCUUAUCGAUCGUCUUAGUAAGUACAGAUUGCAGAUAUUUGGGUCAAAAGGCGACAUAAUAUCGAACACAGAAAACACGUUAAGUGUUAUGGAACAACGUAACUUGGAAACCGACUUUUCCUAAUGUUUCGAAGUUUCCAUUCAAUUCCUCUUGAAAAGUAUUACAGAAUCAUCUCUACGUCAUCAUAGUUUGCUUUUUUGUGACAUAAGUCGUCAACAUAAGUCGGUCAUAUGUCGUCAACUUUGAAGCCACUAUACUCUUCGUAGCUUGAGGUGCUCUCGAUAGCUUUAAAUGCCAAUAAUUAAAAAACAAAUAUCAAAUACAACUUUUAUUCUUCGUUUUUAUCUUAUUGUGGCUUUUAAAGACACUCGUUGAAUUUCCUACCAAUUGGUAUUAACGAACACUACUGGAUAAUACUGGAUCAACCGACCAAUCAGUUUCUUCUUUCCCAGUUCCUAUCUAAUUUAGUCGGGAUUAUACUUCGUACUAUCGAGAACAGCGAGGUUGAGGGCUGCGGUCUGUUUUCCAUUCUCGGAAAUGAAUUAAAAAGAAAUUCAAAUGAUACGCAUAUUGAGUGUCAUACGUAACGUGUAAAUGAAAUAUUGGGAUGAUGUUCUUCCGAAGUUUGAAAUCGAAAAGUUAAUACUGCUCGACACAUUAUAGUUUAGUCUGAAUUAUAUUGUUAACUAGAUUUAAAGCAAACAAUUAGCCGUUAUUACAAGUAAUUGAGAUAUUCGUCUGGUCUGUUCUUUUUGCAUAGCAGAAAAAUUGUGUUGCGAAAAAUGUUACUAAAAAUAGAAAUUUAAUGUUUGGAGAACUUUAUAUUUACAUUCGUCUGUCUGAAUUAUCCGAGACACUUAAAACACA